ensembl:lncRNA novel transcript, antisense to FAM38A
AAUAGACACAAGGAGAGGCAAGAAGCUCCACCUCACCCCAGUGGGGGCUGCAGGUGGAUGGAGACCAGAGCAUGCGGAGCGCCCCUGAGCAGCCGUGGCUGGGGUGGGAGCAGGGCCAUGAUGGCUCUGGAGAAAAGUGGGGCAGGCAGCUGCCUCCCUGGGGCUGAGGGGCUGCAAGGAGAAGUUGCAUCCCGAUGCAUGGCCUAUGCAUGGUACCCAGUCCCCAUGGCCACCCUGGCAUUUCAGGCACCUGCUGUGCACCAGGUCAGGCCCCAGACCGGCAUCCUCUCUCUCUCUGUGCACCCACACCUGGCAGGAAGCGGCAGCACCAUCUGGUUGCCUGGCAGCCUUGUCCUGCUCCCAGCUGCCUGUGGCCCCACUGGACUCAGCCCCCCAGCAGGGAGGCCUUCGGCUGCAGGGCAGGGGCUGGGCGGGCGCACCCUGUGGCUGGGGGCACUCAGGAGCCCUGGCUUCACCUCUGCUCUCGGCGCACAUGUGGACAGCUCACCCUUCAGCAGGGGUCCGGACCAAAGUCCUUGACCCACCGGGUUCUGAGUCCUGACAGGGCUGUGGACAGCUUCCCUUUCCACCCCGGCACGUGCUGGCAGGAGCUUCCGGGCCCUCACCCUGGGGCAGCAACUCCUGCACCACCAGCCACGCCCGGCCACGAGAAAGUGCAGAACAGCUCAGGCCCUUCUCACAACUUCCUGGAGCUCAGGGACAGUUUUUUGAGCACAAAUGGUGUUAGGUGACAGACUCGGGAUUGGCCUUGGACACUCAGCCCCCUCUUUCUGGAGCAAAGACUCAUGACCCACGUCCAAGUCACCCUGCACAUCCCUAAGCCUGACCGUGAAGCAGCCCUCACGGAUGCCCAGGACUCCCUGUCCGCACCACCAGGCAGCCGAGGCAGGUUUGGACCAGCUUCUCACACUCACACCUUCCUAGGGUUGCCCCAGGCCCUGACCUGCUGACCCUGCAGCUAUGACCUCUGACCUGUGGAGGAUGGGAGGGGUGAGCAGCAGGGAGAGUGGGAAGGAGGAAUGGAAAACCGUCCAGGAAGGGAGGCUGCAGCCCCGACACGAACAGGAGCCACCACCAGGGGGUGCUGUGCAGGGCUCCCGGAGGACAGGACCUUCCAGGGCCUCCCUGCCCCGAACCCAUAGGUGCCAGGCUUCUCACUGCUCACGACCUCCGUGCCGGGCUCAUACCUGCCGCGCCAGCCCCUCUUCAGCAGAGCACAAGUCUGGCAGCAGGAGGGCACCAGCCAGGGGCCCCGCGCCCCCGCCUCUGUACAGCAGGGUCACCGUGGGGUGACAUGAGAACACCGACCCAGGGAAUGGGCUCCUGCCACACCUGCCUGGGAACCUGGGCUGUGAGUCCUGCUCGCUGCACCCUCUAGCCUGACGUUGAAGUAACCUCGCCAGCGGGGCCCUCUGUGGCACUGGGCACUCAGGGAGAGCACGUGGCAUUGGAGAAGGUCCCACCCCCAAAUGCAAAGCUGGGAAAACCAGGCUGAGCCGGGGAUCAGGCCACCUCCGCAGGGACCCACUGCUGCCUCUUCCAGGAGCCCAGGAGACCCAGUGGGUCUCCUGCCCCCGACUCCAACUCCCUCCUGGCAGGACACACCCAGCUCACAGUGGCCUUUCCAUCCUGGGAAAGGGAGUGAGAGGAGGCUCAGGCCAGGGACCCGCCCAGCUCUGGCCGGCAACCGCCCUUCAGCCUUUCCUGAACCACUGUGUGGGCCCCAACCCAUCCGCUGCCUGCCGGAGGGAGCCCAUGGGGAAUGGACUAUUCUUGCCACCCCUAUCCAUGGCAGGGGAGGGGCUCAGCAUGGCUCUUGCCCACCCAGAAGAAGGUGCAGGGGGCCUGGCGUGGUGGUUCACACCUUUGGGAGGCCGAGGUGGGUGGAUCACCUCAGGUCAGGAGUUUGAGACCAGCCUGGCCAACAUGGUGAAACCCUGUUUCUACUGAAAAUACAAAAAUUAGCCAGGCGUGGUGAUGGGCACCUGUAAUCUCAGCUACUCAGGAGGCUGAGGCAGGAGAAUCACUUUCACUUAAACCCAGGAGGCGGAGGUUGCAGUGAGUUGAGAUCGCGCCACUGCACUCCAGCCUGGGCAACAGAACAAGACUCCGUCUC